UACGUAGGGUGCGAGCGUUAAUCGGAAUUACUGGGCGUAAAGCGCACGUAGGCGGCUUCGUAAGUUGGGUGUGAAAGCCCACGGCUCAACCGUGGAAGUGCAUUCAAAACUGCGUAGCUUGAAUCUCGGAGAGGGUGGUGGAAUUCCUGGUGUAGCGGUGAAAUGCGCAGAUAUCAGGAGGAACACCAGCGGCGAAGGCGGCGCUCUGGGCCGGAACUGACGCUGAGGAGCGAAAGCGUGGGGAGCAAACAGG
rnacentral:rRNA from 1 species